AUGAAAAGAGUCUUUGUUUACCAGGAAGCACAACUCCAUGACGACUGCAGAGGCUUUUAAGGAAGCGGGGGGGAAUAAUCACAAAUGGGUUUCUGCCCCCCCCCCCCGGACCCUUUCUAUGACACGGCUUUGAAAAGCACUGAGCUGCUGACAAUGCAGGAGGGGCCGUGUGCAGCCGCAGAAGACGGGUUCUGCAGCAGGACCCCCCCAACCCCCCCCGCCCCGCACCUUCAAGACACCUUGACAUCGCCGGGGUCAACAGGUCCUGCUGAGAGCUGGUGACGCUAACUCCUCCUCUUCCUCCAUCAGCGAGGGAAACCCAACAUCCAUAUCAACAGAGCGUUUUGUUGUUUAACACCAGUCCCAGCGCCAUUUCUAGAAACCCACGGCCUUCCACCUGCACAUGCUCCAGGUUCAAACCAAGCUUUAUUAGCAUCAAGGCAUGUUCAGUCCAUCCUGUUCCCCCCUCCCCCCUCCCUCAGUUCCGGUGUUCACCUAUCAUUCAGGAGAUGCUUCGUCCAGGAGACAUUUUUUAAAGAUGUAGCAAUAAUGACAGGUGGAAAUCCCAACGUGUGUGAGUCCAUUGUUUCCUGUGCAUCCAAUCAGAACCAGAACAAUAAAAACAAACAUUUUACAAGA